rnacentral:rRNA from 1 species
ACACCGGCAGCUCUAGUGGUAGCUGUUUUUAUUGGGCCUAAAGCGUUCGUAGCCGGUUUGAUAAGUCACUGGUGAAAUCCUGUAGCUUAACUGUGGGAAUUGCUGGUGAUACUGUUGAACUUGAGGUCGGGAGAGGUUAGCGGUACUCCCAGGGUAGAGGUGAAAUUCUGUAAUCCUGGGAGGACCACCUGUGGCGAAGGCGGCUAACUGGAACGAACCUGACGGUGAGGGACGAAAGCUAGGGGCGCGAACCGGAUUAGAUACCCGGGUAGUCCUAGCCGUAAACGAUGCGGACUUGGUGUUGGGAUGGCUUUGAGCCGCUCUGGUGCCGAAGGGAAGCUGUUAAGUCCGCCGCCUGGGAAGUACGGUCGCAAGACUGAAACUUAAAUGAAUUGGCGGGG